AAAAAAGAAAUGGGUGAUUUCUAAGUGCACUGUUAAUUUCUAACUGCGCCUUUAUGCCCCCUAACAGAACACAGUGAAAAGUGUCCAAGCAGUCACCCAGGGUUUUGGGGUCUCAUUGGGGUGCAGGGGGUCACAAAGGAAUUUCUCUCCUUGCUGCAGCUGCCACCUCCAGUUACUCUAAACAACCCCUGGAGGGAAUAGACACCAGAUA